AUUGAACGCUGGAGGUAUGCUUAACACAUGCAAGUCGAACGGUAACGAUGCUAGCUUGCUAGCAGGCGACGAGUGGCGGACGGGUGAGUAACGCGUAGGAAUAUACCUAGUAGUGGGGGAUAGCCCGGGGAAACUCGGAUUAAUACCGCAUAUGUCUUAUGAGAUAAAGAGGGCCUCUUCUUGAAAGCUCUUGCUAUUAGAUUAGCCUGCGUCGGAUUAGCUUGUUGGUGGGGUAAUGGCCUACCAAGGCGACGAUCCGUAGCUGGUCUGAGAGGAUGAUCAGCCACACUGGGACUGAGACACGGCCCAG
rnacentral:rRNA from 1 species